CCUACGGGUGGCAGCAGUGAGGAAUAUUGGUCAAUGGGCGCGAGCCUGAACCAGCGAAGUCGCGUGAGGGAAGACGGUCCUAUGGAUUGUAAACCUCUUUUGUCGGGGAGCAAAAGACGCCACGCGUGGCGUUCCGAGAGUACCCGAAGAAAAAGCAUCGGCUAACUCCGUGCCAGCAGCCGCGGUAAUACGGAGGAUGCGAGCGUUAUCGGGAUUUCUGGGGUUUAAAGGGUGCGCAGGCGGAAGAUCAAGGCAGCGGUAAAAUUGAGAGGCUCAACCUCUUCGAGCCGUUGAAACUGGUUGUCUUGAGUGAGUGAGAAGUAUGCGGAAUGCGUGGUGUAGCGGUGAAAUGCAUAGAUAUCAUGCAGAACUCCGAUUGCGAAGGCAGCAUACCGGCGCUCAACUGACGCUCAUGCACGAAAGUGUGGGUAUCGAACAGGAUUAGAUACCCGGGUAGUC
rnacentral:rRNA from 1 species